AACGAACGCUGGCGGCAUGCCUAACACAUGCAAGUCGAACGAGACCUUCGGGUCUAGUGGUGCACGGGUGCGUAACGCGUGGGAAUCUGCCCUUCGGUUGGGAAUAACUGAGAGAAAUUUCAGCUAAUACCUUAUAAUGUCUUCGGACCAAAGAUUUAUCGCCGAGGGAUGAGCCCGCGUAGGAUUAGGUAGUUGGUGGGGUAAUGGCCUACCAAGCCGACGAUCCUUAGCUGGUCUGAGAGGAUGAUCAGCCACACUGGGACUGAGACACGGCCCAGACUCCUACGGGAGGCAGCAGUGGGGAAUAUUGGACAAUGGGCGAAAGCCUGAUCCAGCAAUGCCGCGUGAGUGAUGAAGGCCUUAGGGUUGUAAAGCUCUUUUACCCGGGAUGAUAAUGACAGUACCGGGAGAAUAAGCUCCGGCUAACUCCGUG
rnacentral:rRNA from 1 species